GUUAAUUUUACCCAAAGGAAUAGCAGCUACUAGUUGAGAAAGCUGUGGUAAAACCUUGCUAAUGAGAACCACGCUGAAGGAUAGUGUGGCUAAAAGGGUCUGGAUUGCUGAGAUCGAAGCUGAAACUAACCAGGAAAUGUACCUAUAACAGAAGAAGUGGAUACGGAGAAACAGAAUGGAGGGGAAAAAAAAAAUUCUUGCGCUUUAUCAGCUUGUCUCAUCUCCAUCAUCGCUGCUGGCAGAGUACCAUUCUUCAGUUUCUUCAGCGAGGCAUCUGUGAUGAUGAGAUGGCCAACUUCUUCCUUCGCUCCCCUCCCGGA
rnacentral:lncRNA from 1 species